CCUCUGUUACAAGCUCCUGCUUCUGGAUGAGCCCGCGUCCCAUCAGCUAGUUGGUAGGGUAAUGGCCUACCAAGGCUACGACGGGUAGCUGGUCUAAGAGGAUGGCCAGCCACACUGGAACUGAGACACGGUCCAGACUCCUACGGGAGGCAGCAGUGGGGAAUCUUGCGCAAUGGGCGAAAGCCUGACGCAGCGACGCCGCGUGGGUGACGAAGGCCUUCGGGUUGUAAAGCCCUGUGGGGUAGAACGAACUGGCAUCGGGCUAAUAUCCCCGGUGUCUUGACGGUACUGCCUUAGCAAGCAUCGGCUAACUCUGUGCCAGCAGCCGCGGUAAGACAGAGGAUGCGAACGUUGCUCGGAUUUACUGGGCGUAAAGCGCGUGUAGGCGGUCUCGUUAGUCGGGUGUGAAAGCCCCGGGCUCAACCCGGGAAGUGCACCCGAUACUGCGAGACUGGGGUACUGAAGAGGAGAGCGGAAUUCCCGGUGUAGAGGUGAAAUUCGUAGAUAUCGG
rnacentral:rRNA from 1 species